ACCAACUUAGCAUAAGUUCAGUGCAUAAGACUGUAAAUUUUAAGGUAAUCGUAAUUAAUUAGUUGGUU
rnacentral:tRNA from 1 species